GACGAACGCUGGCGGCGUGCUUAACACAUGCAAGUCGAACGAGAAUCUACUGAAAGAGUUUUCGGACAAUGGAAGUAGAGGAAAGUGGCGGACGGGUGAGUAACGCGUGAGGAACCUGCCUUGAAGAGGGGGACAACAGUUGGAAACGACUGCUAAUACCGCAUGACGCAUAGAGGUCGCAUGAUCUUUAUGCCAAAGAUUUAUCGCUUCAAGAUGGCCUCGCGUCUGAUUAGCUGGUUGGCGGGGUAACGGCCCACCAAGGCGACGAUCAGUAGCCGGACUGAGAGGUUGAACGGACACAGUGGGACUGAGAUACGGCCCAGACUCCUACGGGAGGCAGCAGUGGGGAAUAUUGGGCAAUGGGCGCAAGCCUGACCCAGCAACGCCGCGUGAAGGAAGAAGGCUUUCGGGUUGUAAACUUCUUUUAAGAGGGAAGAGCAGAAGACGGUACCUCUAGAAUAAGCCACGGCUAACUACGUGCCAGCCGCCGCCGUAA
rnacentral:rRNA from 1 species